UGAGUUUUCUUACCCCCCCCCCCAAAAAAAAAAGAAAAGCUCCAAUCUCACCGCAUGCUUGUUACAAGAUAUCCACUGUAUUUUACUUCCCUCAGCUAUCAUUUGUCCUGCACAGCUGUUGGGCUAACUACUAAUGUACUUCACUUUUCUGCCUUUCGACGUAGGUUUAUGUUAGGUGCAUAUGUUAUAAAAGAUAAAAUACUACUGAUGCUCAGCAAAACUCAAAGUGAGAUGAUUACAAAGGCUUUAGUUAUACAA